UAUGAGUUUCAAAAUGAAAUCCAUUUGUGAAAAGGUCUAUUAGAAAAUGACCAUACUGCUGUGUCAUCUCUCACACUAAAUAAUGUAACACUUACUACUUGUGUGGUGUCCUUCAGUUCAGUGACAUCACAUUGAAGGUGGCAUCAAUCUGUGAGGAACUAUAGGGUCUCUGUGACUGACGGAGAAACUGUGUCGUUUGCUUUUAGUGUCAAACAUCUUCACACUGAUCUCAUGGAGACAGAGGAGCAGCUGGGCUAAAGAAGAAAAAAAACAACUAUGCUGUGACUACUCUUCUCCGCUUUGAGCCAUGCCGCUGAGUGGAUAGCUUCCUGCUGUGGCUGCUGCUCAAAGAAAGACAGGACAGGAUGACAGUACCAGUGUAAAGGGGCACGGCAGAAAGUGUGGACGGUCUCCAGCGAUGAACCAACAUCCAAAAGUCAAAUUCCAUCAUAAUUCCUCAGAGCAGAGUGAACAGAAGAGACUCUGAGGUUUAUUUACUCGCAGCAUGAUAAUCUGUGAAAGCUCUGUGCUCGUUUCAAUGAUGACUAAUCCCAAAACUCCUCAUUUGGGGAGUAGGACGAUGUCUGACAGCCAACAAGUUCAGCAGCAGCUCAGGAGAAUCAUAAGAUCUACUGUAUGUACUGAAGGUUAAUGUGUUAGAGGUGCAAUCAUUAUCACAAAAUGAAGAAAAUGUGCUACAUCUGUACUUUAGUAAAUUAUUGGGAAAAAGUCAAAUAAAUGAUUGUUGAGAUCAUGUCUUUUUUUUUUU